rnacentral:rRNA from 1 species
GAUGAACGCUGGCGGCGUGCCUAAUACAUGCAAGUAGAACGCUGAAGGAGGAGCUUGCUCUUCUGGAUGAGUUGCGAACGGGUGAGUAACGCGUAGGUAACCUGCCUGGUAGCGGGGGAUAACUAUUGGAAACGAUAGCUAAUACCGCAUGACAACAGUUAUUGCAUGAUAACUGUUUAAAAGGGGCAACUGCUCCACUACCAGAUGGACCUGCGUUGUAUUAGCUAGUUGGUGAGGUAACGGCUCACCAAGGCGACGAUACAUAGCCGACCUGAGAGGGUGAUCGGCCACACUGGGACUGAGACACGGCCCAGACUCCUACGGGAGGCAGCAGUAGGGAAUCUUCGGCAAUGGACGGAAGUCUGACCGAGCAACGCCGCGUGAGUGAAGAAGGUUUUCGGAUCGUAAAGCUCUGUUGUAAGAGAAGAACGAGUGUAGAGUGGAAAGUUCACACUGUGACGGUAUCUUACCAGAAAGGGACGGCUAACUACGUG